AGGUUAGAAUUACAAACCUAGGGUUUCAAUUAGUGUUUCAAUUGUUUAUUGUUUCAACCUAGAAUUAGUGUUUCAAUUGAUUAUUUAACAUUGUAUUUUAUAGAAACCUAGGGUUUAGAUUGUAUUUAUCAUUUUUUAACAUUUUAUAGAAAUUCAGGGUUUAGGGUAUGGGUUGAAUAUUUAGGCUAGGCUUUAUUGAGUAUUUCUCCUUCAAUAUUUUAGUAAGCAAUAGAUACUAAUUUAACGUCAAAGACUUGAUUCAUAGGUAUAUAUAUAUAUUAGGGUAUAAAUUGAACUUUUAGUUUAAUCUUGAUUAGUUUAUAGGUAGAUAUUUAAUAUAGACACAUGAUAGUAUAUUUGGAUUUUCUCUUAAAGUUCAAGACAAUGUUAAUGUUUAAGGCCUUAAGCGAAUCGUUGCGUGGCUCUUGUUUGAGUACAACGAGUCGCCCACUUUUAGGAUAUAAAUUGAACUUUUAGUUUAAGUUUAAACUCGUAGGAUACGAAUAUAACUUUUAGGAUAUAAAUUGAAGCUUUUAUGUAUGAGUUGAACCGUUAGGAUAUGACUUGAACUUUUGUGGAUAUAAAUUGAACCUUUUAGGAUAUGAGUUGAAUUUUUAGGAUAUGAAUUGAACCUUUUAGGUAUGAGUUGAAGCUUUUAGGAUAUAAAUUGAACUUUUAGUUUAAGUAGGAUAUGAAUAUAACAUUUAGGAUAUAAAUUGAAGCUUUUAUGUAUGAGUUGAACCUUUAGGAUAUGACUUGAACUUUUGUGGAUAUGAAUUGAAGCAUUUAUGUAUGAGUUGAACCUUUAAAUCCAAAUCACUAAACUCGAUCAUCAGUUGACCUCAAACUAAAUCAAACAACAUCAUAACCAAGAUGAAUGAUUCAUACUAAAUCAAAAACUAAAAGACCAACACAUAAACACUCCCAUUAAAUCACUUGAUGAAAAACUAACGAACCUCGUAGGAUAUGAAUAUAACUUUUAGGAUAUAAAACUGAAGCUUUUAUGUAUGAGUUGAACCGUUAGGAUAUGACUUGAACUUUUGUGGAUAUAAAUUGAACCUUUUAGGAUAUGAGUUGAAUUUUUAGGAUAUGAGUUGAAUUUUUAGGAUAUGAAUUGAACCUUUUAGGUAUGAGUUGAAGCUUUUAGGAUAUAAAUUGAACUUUUAGUUUAAGUUUAAACUCGUAGGAUAUGAAUAUAACUUUUAGGAUAUAAA
rnacentral:lncRNA from 1 species